rnacentral:rRNA from 1 species
AGUCGAACGAUGAAGCUUUUAGCUUGCUAGAAGUGGAUUAGUGGCGCACGGGUGAGUAAGGUAUAGUUAAUCUGCCCUACACAAGAGGACAACAGUUGGAAACGACUGCUAAUACUCUAUACUCCUGCUUAACACAAGUUGAGUAGGGAAAGUUUUUCGGUGUAGGAUGAGACUAUAUAGUAUCAGCUAGUUGGUAAGGUAAUGGCUUACCAAGGCUAUGACGCUUAACUGGUCUGAGAGGAUGAUCAGUCACACUGGAACUGAGACACGGUCCAGACUCCUACGGGAGGCAGCAGUAGGGAAUAUUGCGCAAUGGGGGAAACCCUGACGCAGCAACGCCGCGUGGAGGAUGACACUUUUCGGAGCGUAAACUCCUUUUCUUAGGGAAGAAUUCUGACGGUACCUAAGGAAUAAGCACCGGCUAACUCCGUGCCAGCAGCCGCGGUAAUACGGAGGGUGCAAGCGUUACUCGGAAUCACUGGGCGUAAAGGGCGCGUAGGCGGAUUAUCAAGUCUCUUGUGAAAUCUAAUGGCUUAACCAUUAAACUGCUUGGGAAACUGAUAGUCUAGAGUGAGGGAGAGGCAGAUGGAAUUGGUGGUGUAGGGGUAANAUCCGUAGAUAUCACCAAGAAUACCCAUUGCGAAGGCGAUCUGCUGGAACUCAACUGACGCUAAGGCGCGAAAGCGUGGGGAGCAAACAGGAUUAGAUACCCUGGUAGUCCACGCCCUAAACGAUGUACACUAGUUGUUGGGAUGCUAGUCAUCUCAGUAAUGCAGCUAACGCAUUAAGUGUACCGCCUGGGGAGUACGGUCGCAAGAUUAAAACUCAAAGGAAUAGACGGGGACCCGCACAAGCGGUGGAGCAUGUGGUUUAAUUCGAAGAUACGCGAAGAACCUUACCUGGGCUUGAUAUCCUAAGAACCUUAUAGAGAUAUGAGGGUGCUAGCUUGCUAGAACUUAGAGACAGGUGCUGCACGGCUGUCGUCAGCUCGUGUCGUGAGAUGUUGGGUUAAGUCCCGCAACGAGCGCAACCCAUGUAUUUAGUUGCUAACGGUUCGGCCGAGCACUCUAAAUAGACUGCCUUCGUAAGGAGGAGGAAGGUGUGGACGACGUCAAGUCAUCAUGGCCCUUAUGCCCAGGGCGACACACGUGCUACAAUGGCAUAUACAAUGAGACGCAAUACCGCGAGGUGGAGCAAAUCUAUAAAAUAUGUCCCAGUUCGGAUUGUUCUCUGCAACUCGAGAGCAUGAAGCCGGAAUCGCUAGUAAUCGUAGAUCAGCCAUGCUACGGUGAAUACGUUCCCGGGUCUUGUACUCACCGCCCGUCACACCAUGGGAGUUGAUUUCACUCGAAGCCGGAAUACUAA